AUUGAACGCUGGCGGCAUGCCUUACACAUGCAAGUCGAACGGUAACAGGUCUUCGGAUGCUGGCGAGUGGCGAACGGGUGAGUAAUACAUCGGAACGUGCCCGAGAGUGGGGGAUAACGAGGCGAAAGCUUUGCUAAUACCGCAUACGAUCUCAGGAUGAAAGCAGGGGACCGCAAGGCCUUGCGCUCACGGAGCGGCCGAUGGCAGAUUAGGUAGUUGGUGGGAUAAAAGCUUACCAAGCCGACGAUCUGUAGCUGGUCUGAGAGGACGACCAGCCACACUGGGACUGAGACACGGCCCAGACUCCUACGGGAGGCAGCAGUGGGGAAUUUUGGACAAUGGACGCAAGUCUGAUCCAGCCAUGCCGCGUGCGGGAAGAAGGCCUUCGGGUUGUAAACCGCUUUUGUCAGGGAAGAAAAGGGUGUUUCUAAUAAAGACGCCUCAUGACGGUACCUGAAGAAUAAGCACCGGCUAACUACGUGCCAGCCGCCGCCGUAAUAC
rnacentral:rRNA from 1 species